UGCAGGGCACGUGACUCGGACUUGCACUGACAACAACAACAAGCUAGUGAUAAGAAUAUACGAGAGAAUAUGGGGUUAUAACUCGGACAGUCGUUGUAGCAAAGACUUUGUGAGACUUAAGUGAAGUUUUGUGUUUGUUUUUUUGCUGAAAAUGAGUAUCAACGGGAAUGAAAAUACGGAGGUGACCGACGAAACACCUUUGCUGUCAAACCAGAGCAGAUCCAAAGGUGCCUCCUUUGCCUCGUCAGUGUUUAACCUGAUGAAUGCGAUCAUGGGCAGCGGUAUUCUGGGCCUAGCUUAUGCCAUGGCAAGCACCGGCAUAGUUAGCUUCUGUAUAUUGUUGGUACUUGUAUCCAGCCUGGCAGGGUAUUCCAUACACCUCCUCCUCAAGCUUUGUGACCAGACAGGAAUCAAUUCAUAUGAAGAUCUUGGAGGGCGAGCAUUACAAAAACCAGGAAAAGUUCUCGUUGCAGUCGCUAUCCUCAUCCAAAAUGUUGGUGCCAUGUCAUCAUAUUUGUUCAUCUUGAAGUCAGAGCUUCCUGCGACCAUCACCAGCUUCCUGAGUCCGGACCACUCUGGACAGACCUGGUAUCAAGAUGGCAGACUGCUGCUGAUCCUCGUUACUCUAUGCGUCAUCCUUCCUCUGGCAAUAUUGCCAAAAAUUGGUUUCCUGGGCUACACCAGCAGCCUGGCCUUCUUCUUCAUGCUCUACUUUGCCAUUGUGGUUGUGGUCAAGAAGUGGUCAAUCCCCUGCCCACUGCCGCAAAACCUGACCACGUUUUUAGGUGUAUCUCAGGUAUCAAAUUCCUCCGACUCGGAUUGCACACCCAAACUUUUCGUCAUCUCUAGUCGGAGUGCCUACGCCAUCCCCACCAUGGCCUUCUCCUUCCUGUGCCACACCGCCGUCCUGCCAAUCUAUUGCGAACUUGACCGGCCAAAUAAAGCAAGGAUGCAGAAUGUAGCCAAUGUCAGCAUCAGCCUCAGCUUCCUGGUUUACCUCAUUUCUGCCCUCUUUGGCUACCUCACCUUCUAUGCUCACGUGGACUCGGAGCUGUUGCUUGGCUACGAUGCCUACAUGCCGCACGAUAUCCUGGUGAUGACGGUUCGGCUGGCAAUCCUCAUCGCUGUGUUGCUGACUGUACCGCUCAUUCACUUCCCGGCUCGUAAGGCUGUCAUCUUGCUCCUGCGAGGAAAUCGUACCUUUUCCUGGUUGAUCCACAUCGCAACAACUGUGGUCAUCCUCGGAACGGUCCUGAUGCUAGCCAUCCUUGUGCCAGAUAUCAGGAAUGUCUUUGGAGUUGUGGACAGCAGAAUUGAUGCUUCCAUUUAUCACAGCAAGUCUUCCAGGUCUUGACGCAGCAAAACAGCCCCAGACCAUCACACUACCACCACCAUAUUUUACUGUUGGUAUGAUGUUCUUUUUCUGAAAUGCAAUGCUACUUUUACUUUUUGUAAUGGAACACACACCUUCCGAAAAAAUCGACUUUUGUCUCUUCAGACCAGUGGUCGAAACAUCAACCCAUGUCAGCUCUGGUAAACUCUGGAGCAGAGGGUCAUUUUAUAAAUGCCGAUCUGGCAACUAGGGACUAGCUUUGUUGCUAAAGCUCUGAAUGGUCGUCAUCUGGCCACAGUCACCCACCAGACUGAAACCAUCAGGAAGCGAUAUCCUUUUUGCUAUGGCGAACCCCGAAGGAUCCCGUAUUGUUUUUUUUCGUGGCUCAGUCAGCAUAACAGCUAAAUGAACUGGACAGGAGGGGAGAUUCUCCUUCCAGGGACCUCUUUGUUGUACAAGUUGUACAACAUCUUGCGUCCUGACCGUGAAGCUAUGGAGACAUAUAUUAGGGAAUCCCAAACUGCAUGGAUAAUUCAACCCACUUCUUCCCCAGCGGGAGUUGUUGUUUUUUCCUAUGUGGGCAAGAAAAAUGGCACUCUGAGACCCUGCAUAGACUACAGAGGGGAAAACAACAUCACGGUCAAAAAUAAAUACUCUUAUCUCAGCUCACAUCCGCCUUUGAUGCCUUACAAGGAGUCUUUACUAAACAAAACAAUACCAUCUAGGGCGCAUAAGAGCUGAAGAUGAGUUGAAGAUGGCACUCAACACACUCUUGAGGUACCCAAAUGAUGUACUGAGAAGUACUUGAAGAAUAUUGACUUACACAUCUCCCAUGUUUGCCAGGUCCUCCAGCGCUUACUGGAGAACCGACUGUUUGUCAACGCAGAGAAGUGUCUUUUCCACACAGAAUCCGUGUAGUUCCUGGGCUACAAUCGGGGGGAAAAGGCAGUUUCAGUGCAGUGCGGACCUGGAGAAGAUAAGUGGCCUACAGAGCAGACCAGACAUGAUGGACAACAGCAGGGAAGACGAAAUUAAACUUUAAGCAUCAGAAUGGAGAUCAAGGUCAAAGGUGAGAUAAAACUUUGCAAAUAAACAACCACGGUGUGUGGUGUUUUCGGAAGAAUAGGGUUUUUUUUUGUUAUUUUGGUAAAUUGAGGUACUGACAGAGGCCCACUUGUCAACAGACCAGUAUGGGGUUGGCUCUGUUGGUGGCGGUGGUGGGAGAGUGAGGGAGUGAGUUUGUCUCUUCACGAUCCCAUCAGCCCCGGCCUGAGCUCUUAAUGCUGCCCUGACGCCUCACUGGCGCAUGGGCCACGCUGGCCUGCCGCACAUCUGGAGCCAAUUACCCAGGAGGGGCUGUGACAGUCCACACACCCUCGGCUGCUUUGUCCACGCUACAUUCUCAUCAGUCCAUAUCUGUUGUUCUUUCUGCACCACAUCCUUUAUUAUGCAUCUAUCAAAAAGCUCAAGGGUUCCUUUUCUUCUUCCUUGAACUGUUAUCCACUGUUUUUAUUUCUUGAUUUAUGACGGCUUCUGCUUCAGACGCUAUACAGACGUGAUGGUUAGCGUGUGUGAUCGCUCUCGUUGAAGUUCUACCAUCUUUGUUUACACAUUUUGCCUGUCUCCGGUGGCACUAGGUAUCUAGCUAUAGUUAUCCACAGACUCCAAAUUCAUUCAUUUCUACCGCUUUU